AUAUGCACUGCAGCAGUUGGUGGGAAGCACUGCUCCUUGCCGGCUGCCUGGCGCAUGGGUGACGAGCGUUCCCAGCAGAAGCAGCCAGGUCAGUGAACUGAGCCGUCAGGGAAAUCAGCUGCCGCAUGCCGAUAAUGCCUUCAUUGUCACUUUUGACUGGAUUCCUAUCGGGAAGCUUGGAGAGCCUCCAAAGCGAGGAGAUGCAAGUUUGCGCCGUUCAUUAACCUAGAGAUGAGUGAUGCCAAACGGGAUCCUGGAGACUCUUGAAGCAAGGACGCAGGGGAAAGAAAAAAAAAAAGCAACAAACCCACCAUGUUCUGGAGCAGUUUCCAGCGUGUGCUGUCCCCGGGGAUUUGCUCAUGGAUUGUUGGGAGCUGCUUCCAGUGCCAGGCCCUGCGGUGGCAUUUAUUAAAAGAUACCUUCACUGCCAUUCGCCUUUUUUUUUAUCAUCGCCGUGGAUUUAAUUGAAAUGAUGCGUCCCUCUCUCCUACAAUAUCAUGUUGUUAUGACACACGGUGUGCAGCUGUUCUCUCUGAUGCAAACAGGAAGUUUGGGAAUUAAAAAUGCUUUUCAAAU
rnacentral:lncRNA from 7 species